CAUUUCCAGGAGUCUUCCCAGGUUGAAUUCCCCUGCCUGGGAUAAUGCUCCUGGGCAGCUGGUCAGUACACACUGGUGGCCUGGCCGCUCCUUCUCACUCCUAGAGGGCUUUGCCUGGCUCUGUUGUCUCCUCCUGACACCCUCAGCCCAGGCUUGGACUGCUGUUUCAGGACAACUGACUGACAGAAGCUGAAGGGAUCCAUCCAUAGGAAGUCCCUGAAGUUGAAAUGAGGGGCUACUAAACAACAUGAUGACCUAAGAAAGUAUGGAAUGCACUGGUCAAGGUUGGAGAGGAUGACCAGGAAGUAAAAAGAAGAAAGGCUGAGGUCAGCAGACAUCUUGAAGAGUGAAGGCCUUUUGGAUUUUAGUUACUGAGCUCACUGAUCAGG